rnacentral:rRNA from 1 species
CUUAGCUGACGAGUGGCGGACGGGUGAGUAAAGUCUGGGGAUCUGCCUAAUGGAGGGGGAGUAACCACUGGAAACGGUGGCUAAUACCGCAUAAAAGUCGGAAGACCAAAAGCUUGGGACCGAGAGGCCAGGCGCCAAGAGAUGAACCCCAGAUGGGAUUAGCUAGAAGGUGAGGUAAUAGCUCACCUUGGCGACGAUCUCUAGCUGGUCUGAGAGGAUGACCAGCCACACUGGAACUGAGAGACGGACCAAG